rnacentral:SRP_RNA from 1 species
GCCAGGCGUGGUGGUGCAUGCCUGUAAUCCCAGCUACUCAGGAGGCUGAGGCAGGAGAAUUGCUUGAACCCGGGAGGCAGAGAUUGCAGUGAGCUGAGAUCGCACCACUGCACUCCAGCCUGGGUGACAGAGCGAGACUCUGUCUCAA